CCAAUAGCGUAUAUUAAAGUUGUUGCAGUUAAAAAGCUCGUAGUUGAAUUUCGGGGUUAGUAGGUUGGUCGUGCCACCGGUACGUACUGGUCUUACUGAUUCCUCCUCCCUGAUGGGCUGUAAUGCCUGUAAUUUGGUGGUGCUGGGAAUCUGGACUGUUACUUUGAAAAAAUUAGAGUGUUUAAAGCAGGCUAACGCUUGAAUACAUUAGCAUGGAAAAAUGAAAUAGGACGUUCGAUCCUAUUUUGUUGGUUUCUAGGAUUGACGUAAUGAUUAAUAGGGAUAGUUGGGGGCAUUAGUAUUCAAUUGUCAGAGGUGAAAUUCUUGGAUUUAUUGAAGACUAACUACUGCGAAAGCAUUUGCCAAGGAUGUUUUCAUUAAUCAAGAACGAAAGUUAGGGGAUCGAAGACGAUCAGAUACCGUCGUAGUCUUAACCAUAAACUAUGCCGACUAGGGAUCAGAUGAUGUUAAUUUUUUAAUGACUCGUUCGGCACCUUACG
rnacentral:rRNA from 1 species